UACGAAGGGGGCUAGCGUUGUUCGGAUUUACUGGGCGUAAAGCGCACGUAGGCGGCUUGUUAAGUCAGGGGUGAAAUCCCAGAGCUCAACUCUGGAACUGCCUUUGAUACUGGCAAGCUAGAGUCCGGAAGAGGUAAGUGGAACUCCUAGUGUAGAGGUGGAAUUCGUAGAUAUUAGGAAGAACACCAGUGGCGAAGGCGGCUUACUGGUCCGGAACUGACGCUGAGGUGCGAAAGCGUGGGGAGCAAACAGG
rnacentral:rRNA from 1 species